CCAUAAACGUGUGCUGGUGAUUUGUGCGGUUGCCUAGUUACUUAUCGUAGAAUGCUCUUUUUGCAGCGAAGUUUACUUUUAUCCGUCAGUGACAACGUAAGUGGCUUAACUUCUAGUUUAAUUCCACGUUUUAAACCCUAGCCGAUUAUUUAGUAAACACGUAGCUUGUAUAUUGAUCGUUGCAGGAAAUGAUGUUAUUUAUUUUGCAUUGCAUAUUUACGUGGAGGAUCAAAAGUCUCGCGCCAUUAGCUUAGUUGUUUUAGUUAAUUAUUGAUAGUACCCUCAGACGAUGCGGAAGUAAAAAAAAAAAUCCAAGAAACGUAGUUUAAAUAAGCUGACAUUCAUUGAGAUAUGGCAUAUACUGGGAAGGAAGAAGCGGGUCUUUGGUUUUCAGUCAAAGCGAGGUAGGGUCUCUGAAGGCAAACUGGUGGUUGGACAGACAGAGUAUGAUUCAGAAAACCCCCAUGGUUGAUAAAACAAAGGACCAAGUAAAUUCAGCUGGAUGCGCGAGACCAGGACCCAGUCCUGAAUCCAGGCCUGGUGGGGGAGCUUAUUGCUGAGGACUUGGUAGUCAGCUGCAGGGGGUGCUGUGGGGGUCGGGUGCAGCAUGGCAGUCGAAGGCAGGGGCCUUGGUGGACUGAUCGUUGGCUACAAAAUCUAGCCUUUGGAACAUGGAACGUAACCUCUCUGGUGUGAAUGGAGUGAGAGCUGGUGUGGAAUUUGUCAUUUGUAACUCCUUACAACACCCACUUAGAAGGUAAUGUUUUCCUGAUACACCUUCCUAAACUGAACUUCUCAGUAAAUCGGUCUUGAUAAAGAUCUAAAAAAAAAAUUAUGUGAUUUAAAUUCAGCCAGAAAGCGAAGGGUGGGUCUUACAUCACUGAGAAGCACUUAUGUUUUUCAUUACUGAAAACAAAAUAUGUACAAUGUUUUCGUCCAUACAGUGUACACCCAUAUAUGAUUAAUAUUUUUAUACACAGAGGAUUUUUGUAAUUUGAUUUAAAUAUAUUAUAAACCCUAUCUGAUACUUAUUUAUCUUCAACAAUAAUAGGAUGCACAGCAAAAUCUUUUUUUUUUCCUCUCAAUAAAUAAAGUUUAAUAAAAGCAACCCUUCUAGUCAUUUUUUUCUGUAUUUGGGGCUCAGGUUAGUUUGCCAAGGAAUUCCUUUGGUAUUGUGCUGAUUCCUCAUGUUUAACGGGUUACGUGGUCCAUCCAUCUAUCUUCCAAGCACUUAUCCAGUACAGAGUCACAGAGAGCCUGGAGAUUUUCCAGGGAACGCCCUGGAUAGACUGCCAGUCAGGGUAUGUACACCAUGGGCAGUUUUGAGUGCCUAAUUCAUCUGACUGCAUGUCUUUGGACCGUAGGAAACCCACACAAACAUAGAGAGAAUGUGCAAAUGCCACACAUAUACUUUUUUACAGAGCUGAGCAGGACUGUAACCUUUGUCAGGUUGGCCUUGCAUUGAGCAACACUUUUCCAAUAUAUGUAUAAAAACAAGAAUCCUGCUGGUGUUGCCCAGUAUGACGAUAGGCACCCAACCCAAGUAUAUAGUGCCAGUUGGAAAGUUCGCAUUUUUCCUAAGGAAAAAUUAAAGCUGAAAAUCUUGCAUCAGGUUGUUUAAAUGAUAGAAAAUGAGACUCCUGUCAAGUUCUAGUGCAGCGGAUUAAACACGUCACAUACACCACUAAGCAUGGAUUGGCUACACGUUUAUUUUUAACCAUGUUGAUAUAUAGAAGACGAACUGACUCGCCUUGAGAGGAUCUGUUGAAAAUUAGAGAGUUAGAAGUUAGACGAAGUUGCAAAGGGAACGUGUAAACCCUGAGUAAUUUUGCAGGCACCCGACAUACGUUAAACUCUGAUGUAUCUGUCUACAGAAUAAUAUAUUAUGCUACUGUUUUUUUUUAAGGUUUGGCAGUCUGCUUAGGGAUAUUCUAUGACCCCUGUCUCACCAAAUGGCCUUGCCUGUUAAUGGAUACUCUUGUAUUUUGUACUUGCCUCUCAGGAAGCUAGUUCUCCUGGUGUUUUUGAUUUGAAGGCCCUUCUGUUAGCCUGGUCACUCAUUGCAAACAUAGCCUAUCUGCACUUAUGCUUUUGAUGUCCCAUCUGCCUUGCUUGAAGGCUGCUUUGAACAAGAACAUUUGCUAAAUAAUCAAAAAUAGUCAUCCCUUCCAUGAAUUAACUUCUAAUGGUGGUUAGUUAAAACCAGCAAUUUGCCAUCAAACAAUGUACGAUGUAGCUGCAAUUCUGCAAUCCGUUGAAAAAAAAAUCUGCUGACAGCUAGCUGUUGUUGCAUCAGCAUCUAAUUAGCACGAGUUAGAUUUCAUGGCUUUUUUCCUACAUGAACACCUUACUGAGCACAGUUGCAUACACAGCCAAAGUUAAUGUCAAAGAAACACAUUCUGCUGUUUGUGAACAGAACUACUUGAGAUAUUUUACAAAGUAAACAGAUUAAUUAUAAGUUUAUUCGUUGUAACUUGCAACAUCCUACACACUAAAAUGCAGUCAAUAAUUAUUUUCUUUUGAAAAAUUAAAAACUGGAACUGUUGACCUUCAUUUUAUGUAUUAUUGUGUUUUUGCAGGAUUAGUAUGAUUAUUAUAUAGAUAAAGGGGACUUCAUGCACGGCUUAUUUGUUCUCAGUACAUUUUUUUACACAGCAGACUCAGUAGGAAAUGUUAUUUUCAAGCUUAUUAAGAUGAAAAAUAUUUUUGAAAAACUUGUUUGCUUUUUGUCUGGCCUUUUGACAUUUCUCUUCUUUUUUAGAAUUCAGCCUGGGAAAUACAGAAAUUUUAAGGAGACUUAAAGGGGAAUUUCACCUAAAAAUACCAGACAACAGAAAAUGUCCCACAGAUCCAGAGCAAAUUGCAGUGAACAGGGAAAGUGCUCUACAUGUUCUGACGUGGCCACGACUCCCCAGGACACUUUUCAGUCCCAGUUUGUAUUGGGAGUCGGAGGGACUAAAAUUUAUGAUCUCUGAAAGUCAGAAUUAAAUUUUUCUAAUCUCAGUGUGAACACUCUGCACAUGUAUCCCUCACUCAGCUUGAUUUGCUAUUUAAACCAAGCAAUUAGUAUCUAACAAUACUAAUAAUAAUGUCAUAAUUCAUAGCAGUUGUUUGAAAUAAAAUGCUAUAGAAAUACAUGUAUUUGAAAGUUCUGCACCGAUUCAGAUUUACCAAGUGAUGAAAUUGCAAGACGAUGUCACCUUCAAAAGGUGUAGAGAUUGAAUGAUUAUAUUUAAAAUGACCACUGUUAACAAAGAGACAAUAAAACAAAUUUACAAUCACAGCAUGCUGAGCUUGUAAGUUAUUAGAUAAGUUUGUCUACUAAAUGAAAAAUUAACAAGCACAUAAUAGAAAAAAAAAAUCAGUAUUAGGAGUCAAAGAAUCAGAAGUGAAAUGCAUCCACACCUGAUCAUGUUACCUGCUGAUGUUAAGUAGGUAGCAAAAGGAAGAUAUGUUAAAAUAAGAUUUUCCCAUUUAAUUGGGCAACUUUUAUUAUGUUUUUAGCUAACAUAGCCAUAUAUUGUACAUAAUAUUAAAUGCAUCUAGAUUCAAAUAUAUGAGUGGUAAGCCACAUGGUCAGUGUCAGGUGAAAUCGGCUUAUCUGCUCGAUACUCAUUCAUACAUGUUAAAAUAUGCUAAAAUUAAAAAAUGAUGUACUUUAUACAGUUCAUAAAUAAACAUGAUUGUGGUUGUUGAUGUUUUAAAUAAGUCUCUUCGGCUCUUCCCAGGUUCCUAUGACACUUUGUAGGAAAUUAUCUGGAGAGGAAGAGACUAAUAUUUCAAUUUAUGUCAAUGUUUUACUUUUUCCGCAUUUUGAGAUGUUAGAAACCUUUAUGUGAAUUUCAAUAUGUAUUUUCAAAGCAUAAAUUCUUCAAAUAGAAUAUACUUGAUCACUGUAGCACCAGAGGCACUGCUGAAUAGGAAAUGCAGGGUCUGUCGAAGUUAUCUACAUUAGUAAACCGAGGCACACAGCUGUAAAAUCCACUGCAAAAUUCAAAUUCUGAUGUAUAUACCCUAGGACUGAAUGCAACAGAAACUUCACAUUCAGAUAGUAAACACAUUAUACUGAUACAUUUGACUAUUAAAGCAAUGGAUUAAUUCUUUUUUAAAUUAAAACACCAGAUGCAUGUAUGAUUUAUGAUUACCAUACAAGUUAGCAAAACAAAUAUAACUGUUCAUUUUUUAACAGCACCACCCAAAGCAUUGGCAUUCAGAAUUCCAGCACAUUAAAAUUGUACAGGCCGAUAUUUAUGCUGAACACGUUCCAGUAGUCCCAAACAACAUCUGGAAAUAAUAUGGUUUGAGAAACAUAAUACAGUUUUAAAAAAGCCAUGAGUCGGCACUUGUGAUACAAUGGUUUGUAGAAUAUGUGUUAUGUGCUUCCAUGACUGAAGUCCUCGACUAAGAUGCGUCUGAUAUAGUAGCUCUGGGCAAAGGUUGCUUCCUAGAGGGGAUGUUAAAAUUUCUAAAUCUGUUACUCUUUUCUUAGUGACUUCUACAUGUAGAUGGAUAUUUAAUAAAGUAAUCUGUUCAUCUUUAGUCUGCGACACACAAAUGGAGAAAUUAAUCAUUCUGACAUUGCAUAUUUCUUAGUACAAGUCAUUGAACCAAAAGUAUUCUUGUUUGUAGUAUAAAUAUAUGACCCAUUUCCAGAAUACAAGCAGACAACAAAGAUGCAGUUCAGUUCAAAAAUAUCUCACAGUUCUUCAAGUCAAAUAUUAUAGGCAGCGUGGCCGCACCUGCCUCCAUUAUGCGAUUCUGACAUGUUAUUGUUUUGGAUUCUUUGUCCACUGUGAAGCACCAUAAAAAGCACCAUAAUCUUCAUAGCAGAUGGCACAGACGGAUAGUGUUAUAUACAAACUGACCUGACCAUCAAAGUACUUUUCUUUAAAAAGGAGAGAGUUUAUCAGUGUUUCCCAACCUGGUCCUCGGGGACCCAAGGACGGUCCACGUUUUUGCUCCCACCCAACUCCCUGCCAGACAGUCCACAUUUUUGCCUCCCCUCCACCUGUGAGCUGGGAGGAAGCAAAAACCUGGACUGUCUGUGGAUCCCCGAGCGAGGACUGGAUUGGGAAACAACUGCUGUAGGGAAGAGAAGUGGAAAGAAGACAAAGUGCUUAAGCAGCAGUUUCGAGUCACUGGUGGGAGGCGUCUCUGAAAGAAAUUCACGGAUGACCAUGCGGCCGCUGAACAGGGUCUGCUGCAAGCUGACGCUGGUCCUGAUGCCCAACAAAUGAGUGCAACUUUAAAUACUUAAAUUAAUCAUAUUGUGUGUCCUGGGAAUUGGGGAAAGGGGGUGCUUCCAGAGAUGCAAGAACAGGACAUUCACCUUAGGAGUCCCUUCUGGACCCAGGCUCAGGGGGGUCCAUGGGAAGAGGGGGCACAGGAGAUGGCAUCGUUUUAAGACCUUCGUGGACCAUGCCUGCAUGGAACGUUCCAUGACACCCCUCUCCUCAGUCUGCAAAAUGUCAAAUGUCACCCAUGUGUGGGCCAUGCACGAGUGCCAGGCCUUCAAAUGCUGAAUUAUUACACACAAUCUUUUGUUUGUACUGUCCGUCCUCUGCCCUCCUGUCAAAGCUGCUGAGCAUCUCCUCCCCGUUUCAAAGGUUUGAACGAGAACAGGACUGGCAGCAUUGAGUCCCGUAGUAUUUAUGAUGGCAGAUGCCAUGCUGGGGCACCAGGUGGCACCAUUUGAAGGCGUCGAUGCAAGGCACGUCUGCGAAAACACACGCCACAAAGAAUGAAAACACGUGCAACACCCCAGGACGAGUUAUGGUGACAACUACCACCAGAUGGCCCUGUUAUAGCACCUUCAGGGAACACUAAGCUCCUGCAAAAAUGAAGCUGUAUAAACAGAAGUUUCUGUUACAGACUUGUGUGGAGGCUGGGCGCAGGCGGGGGGUGGCACACUGGCGACGGUCGGCCGUGGAUCAGACACUGCACGGAGCGUACCUGCACACCUCCCCCACACGUCACCGUGCACUGCCACCAAAGGACACCUUUCAUCAGCUCUCCGGCUACGUUUCUACAUAAGCUCCUGUACCUGCUGCCAGCUGGAGACGAGCCACUGGGCCUUGCGGUGUUUUGGGCACCGCUUCAGCAGACAGGGCUCCUGGGCACUGGGCUUGGGCUCUGCCACGCAGGAGCUGUCGGGCAGCACGCCGGCCUGGCCG